rnacentral:tRNA from 1 species
GCCGAAGUGGUGAAAUUGGUAGACACGCUACCUUGAGGGGGUAGUGGCGUAAGCCGUGCCGGUUCGAGUCCGGCCUUCGGCACCA